rnacentral:rRNA from 1 species
GACAGAGGUGCCAAGCGUUAGGCGGAAUCACUGGGCUUAAAGCGUGUGUAGGCGGAAUUGUAAGUACCUUGUGAAAUCCCACAGCUCAACUGUGGAACUGCUCGGUAUACUGCUUUUCUUGAGCCACUUAGGGGCUACCGGAACAAAUGGUGGAGCGGUGAAAUGCGUAGAUAUCAUUUGGAACGCCAAUGGUGAAAACAGGUAGCUGGGAGUGUGCUGACGCUGAGAACACGAAAGCCAGGGGAGCGAACGGGA